rnacentral:lncRNA from 1 species
UGGCUUCUAGGGAGAGUUCAUGCUUGAACUGUUAUAAGACUCAUUUAUUUGUCUUUUUAGCAGUCUACAGAAUGCUUCUCUAGCAACAAAUCUCAAAUGAGUUGAUUUUCUUCCUAUCAGCUGUUUUAUAAAACCACUAAGGUACCUGUAAUCUUCAUAUGUCUAUCAUCAUACAUUGUAGAACAAGAUGUGAAUGUCCAUAUCAACCAUUCAACUCCCAGUCCGGUUGGCAACUAUGUGUGCCAAAUGAGAUGGAUUGCCAUUUUGACCUUCAACUCAGGAGCAGGUGAAGAACUUUGUCAUAGGUUGCCUUCAGCAUGGAAUCAGUAAGUGCAUGGAAAUAAUCUUUGACAGUUUGUCAUUCCUAAAUUGCUGUACUGAAUGACGAGUUCCAUUUGCAACAUCAUAAGGUGUCCUAGGAUGGACUUUCAUGGAUCAGGCAUUUGUUAAUUGCUGGAGACUCUAAAAAUAUGGCUACCCUAACAAUGUUGCCAUUUAAAAUACAGACAAGGAAAACCCAUCACAGUACCAGAAGCAACAUCCCUUGAAAAACAAGCAGAUAAUUCCCAAGUUAUGAAUAAGAUAGAUUCUGUAGGUUUGUUCUUAAGUUGAAUUUGUCACAUACACAGACACACACACACACACACACACACGUUUUGAAUGGCAUAGGGAAGAGUUAACACUCCUGUGGUCUUUGUUUUGCUGUUUGUGCCCGUGUUUAGAUUUCACCUCAAUUUCUGUCCUUCUGAUAAUUUAAUUUUGAAAAAAAUGGCUUGUUGUUGAAACAAGGAUUUGUAAUAACGCUUCAGUGGAGAUACCUUUUCACCACAGGUGCAUCCAGACAGCCAUUAAAAAGUGGAAGCUCCCGCAUUUUAAAGGAGGGCAUCCAUAAGAUGUCCCACAUAAAAGCGAUUGCAUUUGCCAACAAGCAGGAAAACAAUGCUUUGUAGCAAAUUAGUUUGAUAGCCUAUUAGACCUGGACCUUUGUGAAAGGCCCAGGUCUAAUGGGCUAUGGCCCUGUGUGGACAGGCCCACAGGGAGUCCUGGGACUUCCUUGCAGCCUGUCCAAAUACCCAUUCUGCACCUUCUGGGCUCCUGGAGCCCAGAAGGUACGA